UUUUGCAAUAUGUUCCUGAAUAUGUAAUCUAAGUGUAUUGGGGACAUUUUGCAUCCAU
ensembl:miRNA ocu-mir-450b ocu-mir-450b